rnacentral:rRNA from 1 species
AUUGAACGCUGGCGGCAUGCUUUACACAUGCAAGUCGAACGGCAGCGCGGGGUUCGGCCUGGCGGCGCGUGGCGAAAGGGGGAGUAAUGCAUGGGAACGUGCCCAGUAGUGGGGGAUAGCAAGGCGAAAGAAGGAUUAAUAACACAGAAGAGCUGAGGGUGAAAGAGGGGGAGCGAAAGGAAUUGCGGGAUGGGAGGGGUCGACGCCGGGUUAGUUAGUUGGUGGGGGGAAGGGUUACCAAGUAGACGAUCCGUGGCUGGUCUGAGAGGACGACUGGCCACACUGGGACUUAACCACGCCCCAUACUCCUACGGUAGGCAGCAGUGUGGAAUUUUGGACAAUGGUGGCAACUCUGAUCCAGCCAUGCCGCGUGCGAGAAGAAGGCCUUCGGGUUGUAAACCGCUUUUUUUCGUGAAGAAAUCCUCUGGCCUAAUACCCCGGGUGGAUGACGGUACCGGAUGAAUAAGCACCGGCUAACUACGUG